rnacentral:rRNA from 1 species
UACGAAGGGGGCUAGCGUUGUUCGGAUUUACUGGGCGUAAAGCGCACGUAGGCGGAUCGUUAAGUCGGGGGUGAAAUCCUGGAGCUCAACUCCAGAACUGCCUUCGAUACUGGCGAUCUCGAGUCCGGAAGAGGUGAGUGGAACUCCUAGUGUAGAGGUGGAAUUCGUAGAUAUUGGGAAGAACACCGAUGGCGAAGGCAGCCAUCUGGACCGACACUGACGCUGAGGCGCGAAAGCGUGGGGAGCAAACAGG